rnacentral:rRNA from 1 species
UGAAGGCCUUCGGGUUGUAAAGCAACUUUCGCACGUGACGAUGAUGACGGUAACGUGAGAAGAAGCCCCGGCUAACUUCGUGC